rnacentral:rRNA from 1 species
UACGAACGCUGGCGGCGUGCUUAACACAUGCAAGUCGAACGGAAAGGCCCUGCUUUUGUGGGGUGCUCGAGUGGCGAACGGGUGAGUAACACGUGAGAACCUGCCCUUGACUUUGGGAUAACUUCAGGAAACUGGGGCUAAUACCGGAUAGGAGCUCCUGCUGCAUGGUGGGGGUUGGAAAGUUUCGGCGGUUGGGGAUGGACUCGCGGCUUAUCAGCUUGUUGGUGGGGUAGUGGCUUACCAAGGCUUUGACGGGUAGCCGGCCUGAGAGGGUGACCGGCCACAUUGGGACUGAGAUACGGCCCAGACUCCUACGGGAGGCAGCAGUGGGGAAUAUUGCACAAUGGGCGGAAGCCUGAUGCAGCAACGCCGCGUGCGGGAUGACGGCCUUCGGGUUGUAAACCGCUUUCGCCUGUGACGAAGCGUGAGUGACGGUAAUGGGUAAAGAAGCACCGGCUAACUACGUG